AUGUCAACCUGGCAGGGGAGAUACCAUGAGCACGAAGGUGGUUUUCCCAGGGUGAGGCUCAUCCCUUGCACUGCGGGUGUGCUGAUCCUUGCGGUUUCCCCAAAUGCGGAAACUUCACUGCAUAUUUUGUGGUAAUGGGGGGCUGUGUUCAUGCUUUCCCCUG
rnacentral:snRNA from 1 species